rnacentral:rRNA from 1 species
GCUCUCUCCGGGCGCGAGCGGGGGGUGAUACGGAGGGGGGGGGCGUUGCACGGAGUCACUGGGCGUCAAGCGCACGUAGGCGGAUUGCGAAGUCAGGGGGGAAAUCCUGGAGCUCAACGCCAGAACUGCCUUGGAGACUGGCGAUCUCGAGUCCGGGAGAGGUGAGUGGAACGGCGAGUGUAGAGGUGAAAUUCGUAGAUAUUCGCAAGAACACCAGUGGCGAAGGCGGCUCACUGGCCCGGUACUGACGCUGAGGUGCGAAAGCGUGGGGAGCAAACAGGAUUAGAUACCCGUGUAGUC